AGUGACGAUGAUGUGGAUAUUGGAGAUCCUUUUCUUACCGAUAGAUUUGGAAAUUUGACAAGUUGGAGGUUGAGUGAUUUGGAGGCAGCAGCAGAUAAUUAUCUUGAAAAUGAAGAAAGUGAAACAGAGGUAGAAGAAAAGAAAUAUUCCAAAAAGGAAAUGCUAAAGCGUGAUGCUGACCGUAAGAAACAGUACAUGGAAUAUGCUUUACAGAAAUAUAACAAUGAUGAGGAUCUUGCUGGGAUGCGUUUUGUGUUUGAUGAAAGUAAAGACGAAGUUAUCAUUAUUGAAGGAAACAUGAACUCCUAUGAACACUUCAACUUUACAGCUAAGCAGGCUGGUUCCACCGUUCUAUUUUUUGCUGAAGUGACCCGAGACGAAGGACAGCUGUGUAAUGUUCUUUGCUGCAAGCCUUUGGAUUCUGAUGACAAUGGACAUUGCUUUGGUUGUAAGAAUCAAGGUUAUGUGGACUUGAGGCAUCCAUCUGGCGAAAGUUUGUAUGUUGGAGGUCAUGUGGAUUGCGAGUUCCCAUUUAUGUGGGAUAGUAUCAGUGAGGUACUGUAA
rnacentral:rRNA from 1 species